UUGAAACACAACUUCCUAUAUGAUCACGAAAGUUAAGCAAUGUCAAGCCUGGUCGGUACCUGGAUGGGUGACCACUUGGAAAUAGCAGGUACUGUAAG
rnacentral:rRNA from 1 species